GACGAACGCUGGCGGCGUGCUUAACACAUGCAAGUCGAACGGAAAGGCCUUUUCGGAGGUACUCGAGUGGCGAACGGGUGAGUAACACGUGGGUGAUCUGCCCUGCACUCUGGGAUAAGCCUGGGAAACUGGGUCUAAUACCGGAUAGGACCGCACUUUAGUGUGUGUGGUGGAAAGUUUUUUCGGUGUAGGAUGAGCCCGCGGCCUAUCAGCUUGUUGGUGGGGUAAUGGCCUACCAAGGCGGCGACGGGUAGCCGGACUGAGAGGUUGGUCGGCCACAUUGGGACUGAGAUACGGCCCAGACUCCUACGGGAGGCAGCAGUGGGGAAUAUUGCACAAUGGGCGCAAGCCUGAUGCAGCGCCGCCGCGUGGGGGAUGACGGCCUUCGGGUUGUAAACUCCUUUCGCCAGGGACGAAGCUUUUUGUGACGGUACCUGGAGAAGAAGCACCGGCUAACUACGUG
rnacentral:rRNA from 1 species